AUCAUCUUCCGCAAGAUCAGCGAUGUCAAGAAGGAAGAAGAGGAGCGCCUGCGCCAGAAGAACGAGGUGACGCUGAGCAUCCCUGUGGACCACCCCGUACGGAAACUCUUCCAGAAAUUCAAACAGCAAAAAGAAAUGCGUAAUCAAGGCUCAGCUCACAUCGACCCGGAAAGGAACCAGCUUCAGGUGGAAAGCCGGAGUGUGCAGAACGGGGCCUCCAUCACAGGCACCAGCGUGGUCACCGUGUCUCAGAUCACCCCCAUCCAGACAUCCCUGGCUUACAUGAAAACUAGUGAGGCCGUGAAGCAGAACAACAGGGAUGCGAUGGAGCUCAAGCCAAAUGGAAACGGAGACCAAAAAUGUCUGAAAGUAAACAGUCCCAUGCGGAUGAAAAACGGGAACGGGAAAGGGUGGCUUCGACUGAAGAACACGAUGGGGACCCACGAGGAGAAGAAGGAGGACUGGAACAACGUCACGAAGGCUGAGUCCAUGGGGUUACUGUCCGAUGACCCCAAGUGCAAUGACUCAGAGAACGGUGUAAAUAAAAACCCACUGAGGAAAACAGACUCUUGUGACAGUGGAAUAACAAAAAGUGACCUUCGCUUGGACAAAGCUGGUGAGACUCGCAGCCCCCUGGAGCACAGCCCCAUUCAGGCUGAUGCUAGGCAUCCUUUCUACCCUAUUCCUGAGCAGGCCUUACAAACCACGCUGCAGGAAGUCAAGCACGAACUCAAAGAAGAUAUCCAGCUGCUAAGCA